UCACUAAUCAUAUGAAGAAUAUGAAUAAACUAGAAGAUAUGAAAUUUUAUAUCAGGAAGAUAAAUGCUGAGUGGGAAGAACUUUUUCGAAUCUUGGACAUUGACAUGAAUACUGAUUUGAACUAUAGGAUGAAUAUUGAAUUCACCAUCAUUAAAUCACAACAUGAGAAGACAAUGUUGGAUAUGGAGAAAAUGACGCAGUCCAUAAGUGAUACCAUUGAGAAGUACAAGGAAUUCAUAGAAGAUAAGGAUUCCUACAGCAUCAGGCACACCCACCUCCUGAAAGAAUGCAAUCAAUUGAAGAAAAAAAGUAAGGAUGUUGCUGAAUGAGAACAGAAAGCUGCUGGUAGAGCAGGCUGACCAGGAGGCAUCCUUUGGUGAAGAAAAGAGUUCUGUGAUGAGACCAGCAAGAACAUACAUCCCAAGUGCAAAGCAGCAGCAGCCUUGCACAGACAUGCUGUCCACCAUGGGCAUGUGGCCUCUAUUUCAGGAUCUAUCCAUGCAGGAGAGUUUGAAGUUUCAUCCCAACACUGGGGUCUGAGUAUCUCCUGUGAUCCCUGCCAGCAUCCACGAGGCAGGCAAGAGAAAGAGUGCUUUGUGAAGGCCCUGCAGCAGAAGACAGACACAGAAGUGGAACUUCACGAAGAAGCUUGAUCCCAGGGCCACUGGAGUCUUAGGACCAGUGGAUGGAGAGCCAUGAUAAUCCAGGUGCAGAGAUUGUGGGCAGACUUUGUAAUCCCUGAGGAGGGGAUACAAGGUGCAGCAACUUGGCUAGGUGGAGUUUCACUGCAGCUGCUCCUGGUUUGCUCUGGAGGGAGAGGAGGUCGGUCCCUCUAGCCUGGUGGCCAGUACAACUCUGGGAGUCCCUGAGGCAUGUAAGGCACCAAGUGCGCACCCCGGUUCCACUGUGCCAUGCCUACAGCUUGCAGCCAGCAUGGAGAAGGACAGCCCGAGUCACACUGAUCAGCAGUAUGAGUGCAUGGCAGAGAUUGGAGAAGUGCCUGCCUACAGGAAGGUGUUCAAGGACUGCAACCUGAAGAAUGGCAGCCCCUUCCUGACUCUGAAGCACUUGGGAGUGCAGACCAGUGAGGAGGGCAUGCGACUCUCCACCAUCCACGAGGUGGCAGUGCUGAGACACCUGGAGAAUUGGAGCACUGGAUCAUGGUCAGUUGAGCCAGGAGCACUGGCUAUGGGGUCCAGGAAGGUGCUGGGCAAGGGCGGCUGGUGGCCCAACUAAAGUUAAGAGUUGAGUUUCCCUAGAUAAAACCGGGGACCCUGCUAGACAGCGCAGAAAAAAGCUUCCCAGCAGCC